rnacentral:rRNA from 1 species
AACAUGUCUAUUUGUAGAUAUAAAAAGUCUAGCCUGCUCACUGAUAUUAUUUUUAAGAGCCGCGGUAUUCUGACUGUGCAAAGGUAGCAUAAUCGUUAGUUUUUUAAUUGAAAUCUUGUAUGAAUGGUUUGACAAAAAAAAGACUGUCUUUAUAAUUAUUAAUUGAAUUUAACUUUUAAGUGAAAAGGCUUAAAUGAAUUAAAAAGACGAUAAGACCCUAUAAAGCUUAAUAUAAAUUUAUUAUUUAAUAAAAUUUUGUAAAUAUAAAUGUUUGGUGGUAAAUUUUAUUUUAUUGGGGUGAUAAUGGUAAAAUGGUUAUUAACUGUUAAUUUUUUAAAAACAAAAAUAAAUGAGUAAAAUUAUAUUUGAUAAAUGAUCCUAUUUAAAGAUUUAAAGUUUAAGUUACUUUAGGGAUAACAGCGUAAUUUUUUUUGAGAGUUCUUAUCGAGAAAAAAGUUUGCGACCUCGAUGUUGAAUUAAAAUAUCUAUAUAAUUGCAGCAGUUAUAUAAGAAGGUCUGUUCGACCUUUAAAUUUUUACGUGAUCU